GAAGGAGUUGUGCUCCGUGCGUGGGUUCGGUGGCCUCGUGCAUGGUCUGUACCCCUGUGUGGGGCCUCCGCGGGGUCUGUGUUUCUGUGUAGGGCCUGUAAACCUGCGUGGGGUCCGUACAAGGCCUGAGUGGACCCGGUACUCUCCUCACGGGGCCCGUAUCCCCUGCAUGGGACCUGUACCUGUCUAUAGAGCCUGCGUGGGACCUGUACCCCUAUAUAGGGCCUGUGUGGGGCCUGUACCCCUCUAUGUAGAGCCUGCGUGGGACCUGUACCCC
rnacentral:lncRNA from 1 species